UACGGGGGGGGCAAGCGUUGUUCGGAAUUACUGGGCGUAAAGGGCUCGUAGGUGGCCAACUAAGUCAGACGUGAAAUCCCCAGGCUCAACUUGGGAACUGCGUCUGAUACUGGAUGGCUUGAAUUCGGGAGAGGGAUGUAGAAUUCCAGGUGUAGCGGUGAAAUGCGUAGAUAUCGGGAGGAACACCAGUGGCGAAGGCGACUACCUGGCCUGUUCUUGACGCUGAGGCGCGAAAGCUAGGGGAGCAAACGGG
rnacentral:rRNA from 1 species